rnacentral:rRNA from 1 species
CUACGGGAGGCAGCAGUGAGGAAUUUUGCGCAAUGGGGGGAACCCUGGCGCAGCAACGCCGCGUGAGUGAUGAAGGCUUUCGGGUCGUAAAGCUCUGUCAAGUGGGAAGAACCUAUGCAGUGUUAAUAUCACUGUAUACUGACGGUACCACUGAAGGAAGCACCGGCUAACUCCGUGCCAGCAGCCGCGGUAAUACGGGGGGUGCAAGCGUUAUUCGGAAGCAUUGGGCGUAAAGGGCACGUAGGCGGCUUGGUAAGUCAGAUGUGAAAGCCCGGGGCUUAACCCCGGAAGUGCAUUUGAUACUGUCAGGCUUGAGGAUGGGAGAGGGAAGUGGAAUUCCUGGUGUAGAGGUGAAAUUCGUAGAUAUCAGGAGGAACACCGGUGGCGAAGGCGACUUCCUGGACCAAUACUGACGCUGAGGUGCGAAGGCGUGGGUAGCAAACAGGAUUAGAUACCCGUGUAGUC